ACCAUCAGGAAACUUCCUACUAUUUCUUUCCUCCCAGCACAAUCUGUGCCUCGCUCUCUCUCUCUCUCACUUCUCCACCACGACCACAGCAGAAACUUUGCCUCUUCCUUUUCAUCGACACCCACACUCCUCACCACCGUCGCUGCUCUUCCCUCCUUAGCGACCCUUCGUCUACAUCUCGAUCGCAACAACUACGGUAGCCACCAUCUUAGCCUCACACAACAUUGCGAAGGAAGAUAAGGCUGAUGCUAUUUCCCAUAUGAACACCAUUGUCAAUUCAACAAAAGGAGA